rnacentral:rRNA from 1 species
GCGCAAUGGGCGAAAGCCUGACGCAGCAACGCCGCGUGAGGGAUGACGGCCUUCGGGUUGUAAACCUCUUUCAGCCCCGACGAGCGUGAGUGACUGUAGGGGAAGAAGAAGCACCGGCUAACUACGUGCCAGCAGCCGCGGUAAUACGUAGGGUGCGAGCGUUGUCCGGAAUUAUUGGGCGUAAAGGGCUCGUAGGCGGCCUGUCGCGUCUGCUGUGAAAUCCCGGGGGCUCAACCCCGGGUCUGCAGUGGAUACGGGCAGGCUAGAGUCCGGCAGGGGGAGACUGGAAUUCCUGGUGUAGCGGUGAAAUGCGCAGAUAUCAGGAGGAACACCGGUGGCGAAGGCGGGUCUCUGGGCCGGUACUGACGCUGAGGAGCGAAAGCGUGGGGAGCGAACAGGAUUAGAUACCCUGGUAGUCCACGCCGUAAACGUUGGGCGCUAGGUGUGGGAUUCCUUCCACGGGUUCCGUGCCGUAGCUAACGCAUUAAGCGCCCCGCCUGGGGAGUACGGCCGCAAGGCUA